UACGUAGGGGGCGAGCGUUGUCCGGAAUCAUUGGGCGUAAAGCGCGUGUAGGCGGCCCGGUAAGUCCGCUGUGAAAGUCCAGGGCUCAACCCUGGAAUGCCGGUGGAAACUGUCGGGCUGGAGUCCGGAAGAGGCGAGUGGAAUUCCUGGUGUAGCGGUGAAAUGCGCAGAUAUCAGGAGGAACACCAAUGGCGAAGGCAGCUCGCUGGGACGGUACUGACGCUGAGACGCGAAAGCGUGGGGAGCAAACAGG
rnacentral:rRNA from 1 species